GAUGAACGCUGGCGGCGUGCUUAACACAUGCAAGUCGAACGGAAAGGCCGAAGCUUGCUUCGGUUCUCGAGUGGCGAACGGGUGUGUAACACGUGGGUGAUCUGCCCUGUAGUUGGGGAUAAGCUUGGGAAACUGGUACUAAUACAGGAGAUGAGAGGCUCAUGGAGGGGGUUGUGGAGAGCUCUUGCGGUCUGGGAUGAGUUCGCGGCCUAUCAGCGUGGGGGUGGGGAAGUGGCGUAACAGGGCGUCGACGGGUAGCAGGCCUGAGAGGGUGUACACACAGAUCGGGACUGUGAGGCAGGCCAGACUCGGGCAGGUGGCAGCAGUGGGGAAUAUUGGACAAAGGGCGGAAGCGUGUGGCAGCGAGGUCGCGUGAGGGAUGACGGCCUUCAGUUUGUAAACACCUCUCGCAGUCGACGAAGCCUUUUGGUGACGGUAGGUUCAGAAGAAGCACCGGCUAACUACGUG
rnacentral:rRNA from 1 species